rnacentral:rRNA from 1 species
CGGCACCUAUCUUCGGAUAGAAGCGAGUGGCGAACGGCUGAGUAACACGUGGAGAACCUGCCCCCUCCCCCGGGAUAGCCGCCCGAAAGGACGGGUAAUACCGGAUACCCCCGGGGUGGCCCGCAUGGCACCCCGGCUAAAGCCCCGACGGGAGGGGAUGGCUCCGCGGCCCAUCAGGUAGACGGCGGGGUGACGGCCCACCGUGCCGACAACGGGUAGCCGGGUUGAGAGACCGACCGGCCAGAUUGGGACUGAGACACGGCCCAG